CCUACGGGAGGCAGCAGUGGGGAAUAUUGCACAAUGGGCGGAAGCCUGAUGCAGCGACGCCGCGUGAGGGAUGAAGGCCUUCGGGUUGUAAACCUCUUUCAGCAGGGACGAAGCGUGAGUGACGGUACCUGCAGAAGAAGCACCGGCUAACUACGUGCCAGCAGCCGCGGUAAUACGUAGGGUGCGAGCGUUGUCCGGAAUUACUGGGCGUAAAGAGUUCGUAGGCGGUUUGUCGCGUCGUUUGUGAAAACCCGGGGCUCAACUUCGGGCUUGCAGGCGAUACGGGCAGACUUGAGUGUUUCAGGGGAGACUGGAAUUCCUGGUGUAGCGGUGAAAUGCGCAGAUAUCAGGAGGAACACCGGUGGCGAAGGCGGGUCUCUGGGAAACAACUGACGCUGAGGAACGAAAGCGUGGGUAGCAAACAGGAUUAGAUACCCUGGUAGUCCACGCCGUAAACGGUGGGCGCUAGGUGUGGGUUCCUUCCACGGGAUCUGUGCCGUAGCUAACGCAUUAAGCGCCCCGCCUGGGGAGGUACGGCCGCGAGACGAAACGUACGAAGAAGUAGACGGCGUGAGACGUUGCCGAACGGACGACGACGAGGGAGGAGG
rnacentral:rRNA from 1 species